rnacentral:rRNA from 1 species
GACGAACGCUGGCGGCGUGCUUAAUACAUGCAAGUCGAGCGAGGUUACUGUUUUGGAUCCCUUCGGGGUGAAGAAGCUUUAACCUAGCGGCGGACGGGUGAGUAACGCGUGGGUAACCUACCCCAAAGUCCGGGAUAACAGCGGGAAACCGCUGCUAAUACCGGAUGCCUUUACCUUGGGGCAUCUUGAGGUAAAGAAAGGUAACGCCUUUGGGAUGGGCCCGCGUCCCAUUAGCUAGUUGGUGAGGUAACGGCUCACCAAGGCGACGAUGGGUAGCCGGCCUGAGAGGGUGGACGGCCACACUGGGACUGAGACACGGCCCAGACUCCUACGGGAGGCAGCAGUAGGGAAUAUUGCGCAAUGGACGGAAGUCUGACGCAGCGACGCCGCGUGAGCGAUGAAGGUCUUCGGAUCGUAAAGCUCUGUCCUUGGGGAAGAAGGCGAAAGCUUGACGGUACCCAAGAAGAAAGCCCCGGCUAACUACGUGCCAGCAGCCGCGGUAAUACAUAGGGGGCGAGCGUUGUCCGGAAUUACUGGGCGUAAAGGGUGCGUAGGCGGCCCUUUAAGUCGGAUGUGAAAGCCCGCGGCUUAACCGCGGAAUGGCAUUCGAAACUGGAGGGCUUGAGUGUCGGAGAGGGUAGUGGAAUUCCCAGUGUAGCGGUGAAAUGCGUAGAUUUUGGGGAGGAACACCAGUGGCGAAGGCGACUACCUGGACGAUAACUGACGCUGAGGCACGAAAGCUAGGGGAGCAAACAGG